rnacentral:rRNA from 1 species
GGGGAAUAUUGGGCAAUGGGAGCAAGCCUGACCCAGCAACGCCGCGUGAAGGAAGAAGGCUUUCGGGUUGUAAACUUCUUUUAUGAGGGACGAAAAAAAUGACGGUACCUCAUGAAUAAGCCACGGCUAACUACGUGCCAGCAGCCGCGGUAAUACGUAGGUGGCAAGCGUUGUCCGGAAUUACUGGGUGUAAAGGGAGCGUAGGCGGGAAGACAAGUCAAGUGUCAAAUCUAUCGGCUCAACCGGUAGCCGCGCUUGAAACUGUUUUUCUUGAGUGGAGUAGAGGCAGGCGGAAUUCCUAGUGUAGCGAUGAAAUGCGUAGAUAUUAGGAGGAACACCAGUGGCGAAGGCGGCCUGCUGGGCUUUUACUGACGCUGAGGCUCGAAAGUGUGGGGAGCAAACA